GAAAAUUUGAAAAAGAAAAUAAAAAGUUUUCGUGUUGUUUGAGACGAGAUGAAUAAUACAUGGAGAGGAAUUGUAGUAUGUUGCCUCUUAAUACUCUUCGUCUUAUCAACUUUCUUCAUCAGAAUUGACUCCUCCAGGCUACCUCCUUGUAGGAUUCAUGCCACCCGUUUUCGUUAUCCGAAUGGUACUAAACCGUGCGAUUCGACCAUUGAGCGUGGAUAAUGAGGCAGUAUUGAAUAUUAUAUAUAUAUUUAUAAGUAUCACCUAAUAAAAUAAAUUUCA